CUGUGCGCUACGUCAAUGGUCAGAGCUGGUUCCAGGGCCUGAGCGUGGCUGGGGCUGGAUCAGUGGCUAGGCUGGAGCAGCGGGCAGGGCUGAAGAUGUGGAUUCCUAUCCAGCACGUCACUAACCCCUGUCUGAAGCUUUCAAAUUGCUGAGACGCACCAGGACCCAUGCCCCUGCCUUACAGCCAAGCCAGCAAACAACUGUCCCAGCAAUAAUACGGCAGCGAGAGGAUAUGAAAUGUGGCCUGUCAUCUGUACAAGAGUCUGUUCCAGCCAAAUGAAGAAAUCAAUAAACUCCUCUUGAAAGAGAGAAACCAAAACCAAAUCCCCAGAUCUGAAGAUCAUCAAAUUCUGGAGAAGCCUGGUGAUGCCAAGAUGGUCCUUUUUCUGUUCUUUGGUAUUUGGGGGCAGUAGCAGAAUCAAUGUAGACCUCCAGUAGGAGUGGCAAUAUUUUAGUGUAAGAAUAUAUGUGGCUCCAAUAUCUUUAAUAUCAAAAGACUAAGGGUCUGAGCCAAAUCCUACUGAAUUCAUAUAAAGUUUUUCCUUUGACUUCCAAUGGCUUUGGAUCAGGCCCUAAAACUUUAAAAGUCAAAUGUGAAACGUGGAAUAAACCACAUGGCCCUGAACCUGCACCAUUCAAAUCAAUGGGCACUUUGCCAGUGACUUCAAUGAGUAUUGAGCCCUGUAUCUGUAGCCUUCCGUUUAAAAAAGGUAUCGACAUCUACAUCAGAGCUGUUCAAAGGGACUGAAAGAGAAGGGUGUAGGUUGUGCAUGUACACACUAUGUACCCAUGUUCCACAUCAAGUAGGCCAGCAAAGAUGUAGGUGCUGCACAAUUGGCAGGGCAAAUAAUUGCAAUAUUGAAAUAGACUCAAACUGCAACAUUUUGAUCAAAAGUUAAGGGAAUUGCUUUGGCACAUAUUAAAGAUGGAGGGCCAAAUGCUCAGCUGGAGUAAAUUGGUGCAGCUGCAUUGAAGUUAAUGGGGCUACGCUGCUGAUUUACACCAGCUGAAGAUCUAUCCAUUAAUGCAUUUGCAAAAGUAGGUGCUGGAUCCAGGACUGAGUUCUAAUGCCUCACAUUUUGGGUUGCAGGGAGUGGGGUGUGUCCUUCAUACCUGGAGUUUUGUUUUCUGCCCAUCUCUAAUGCAAAUCUGAUACUUGGAAACACGAGUGAAAGUACAUAUUUUGAGGGAGAAAUUUAUGAGCCCAUCAUUUGUAAGUUCAGUCCAUUCUGCAUAUAUAUGGUUCACUAGUGCAACAAAGAGGGCAUACAUGUUCUUUGCACAAUUAAUUGUGUAUUUUGUGAUUAAUGAACUAUUAGAUUGCUAAAUCACACAGUGGGUGUCAUUCAUUUUGUUUAAGAAGAAGAAU